GCUGGUUUAGCUCAGUAGGCAGAGCGCAUCCAUGGUAAGGAUGAGGUCGCCGGUUCGAUCCCGGCAACUAGCA
rfam:Streptococcus sp. DD13 genomic scaffold scaffold00001, whole genome shotgun sequence.